rnacentral:lncRNA from 1 species
ACCCCGCCUCUUAUAUGCCCUCCUGAUCUUAUUCUGGUGGAUUUCUUUAAGCAACCCAGUGCAUUACUCAGACACCAAUUCUGACUCUCUUUGAGCUUCUUUAGACACUCUGUCAUAGGUAUAAUACUGACCUGUAAUGCCUUUAAUCCUGUAAUGCAGGAUCAAAUCCAAGGUUAGAAGUCAGGCCAAUGUCUGCUUUAACCCUUGUUUCCCUCCUCCCAUUCUAAAUUAACUGAUAACCAUCCUAGAUUGAACAGAGAAAGACAAAACCUGAAAUGAUGUUCUACAGUGAGUCAGAUUUAUAUUUUUACCUAGUAUUCACUGAGUUAAAGAUAAUUUGACUAUAAUAAUUAUAAUUUAAGCAUUAUAAAAGGGAAUUAUUGGAAGAAAAUUGAUAGUGACCAAAGAACUAAAAAGAGACCUGUAGAAAUAAAGGAGGGUUGAAAGUGCUUAGGUAAAUAUACAAAUGGCUGUAUUUCACAUUAUAGUAAUGUCAGUGACACACAGGGUAUAUGAGGAUUGAAGUUAAGUCAUAUUGCACUAAGAAGUGAAUGAAAGAAGAGAUAAGAAACCUCAGAUGAGAUGGAGCUUAAUGGGAAUUUCAUAGGUGAAAAUAAUAUACUCAUGAUCAAGGUCUCUAGUGUGUUUGGGGAAACUAAAGAUACAGUCAAGUCUGCCAAUAGCAAACAAAGGAAAGGAAUGCCUAGAGUAUAGGUUGGACCUUAUGAAAAAUAUCAUAGAUACAAAGUUGAAAAUGCUCUUUUCAACUUGCUAAUUAAUGAGGAACAAUGAUGUUUUUUAUUCUGAUAGAUGAUCUCAUCAGGCUGUAUCUUAGGCCACUAUAAGUAUAAUGACUUGGAAUAGGAGAAAUAGGUGACAAGGCAACCAGUUAGAGAUUUACUGAAAUAAAUUAAGCAAGGAUGAAGGCCAAACGUGGGUACUGUCACUGGAAUUUUUAAGGUGCAAAGAUAAACUGAAGACUGAAACUGAAACUGACAAAAGGAAGGAGAAAAAGAAAUCAAAGAUAAUUCUAGGCUGGAUGAAUGGAGGACAUUAUGUUAUAAAACAGGAAAUUAUGAUGGAUGAGGUAUUUCUCUAAAGGAAAUUUGAUGAGUUUUGGAGAGCUUAGAGUAUUAUUGGCAAUUGACUUAAGGGAAUCGGAAAGUAUGGCAUAGCUGAGACUAUGAAAUCGAUAUAAUAUUUGGAAACUCUGAUAUUUCAAAAAACCAAAAGUUGGAGGAAGCGUAUGGAGGAGCCAUCAUUUAUGACUGGCUGAUGUUCUAAUUAAAUUUCGCCACAAACCACCAUCCUCACAAAUUAUUAUUUGGGCCUAUAGAAGAAAUAUACAAAGGAAAAUACAUAAUACAAACAAGCAAAUAAUUAGGUCAAAAGAAAUUUAGCUGAAAGAGUUUUGAAGUUCAAAUAUAUAAAGAAUUAUAUCCAAUUAGAUUAUUAAAUAUAUGAUGAAAGUUAUCAUUUUAUAUAACUCCCAUAUUUCCUAUAGUAACUAAUGUUGAAAUUUAUAAUACAUACAUCAUAAGAAACCAAUAAGUUAAUGAAGUACAAUUACAUAUGCAUACAUUAAUCAAUGCAGAUGAUAACAUAUCAUCUUGCAAUAGUAUAAUAAAAGGAGAUAAUCAUUUAUAAUAUAACAACAUUUGCAAAUAUGAUAAUGACUUUUCUAAUACAUCAUAAAUUUGAAGUUACCAGUAAAGUCCAUAGUAUCCAAAACAAUUAAUAUACUUAUUAAUUAGCUACUGGCGCAAUAAAAUUCUAAGGAAGAAACAUAAGUAAAGUGACAUGGUAUUAUUUUAAAAGACUUAAAAAAUAAAUACAAAGUAUAUGAGCAGCCUUAUCAGAUUAAACAAAUGCUUUCUCAAGUUCAAUUUAAAAUUAAAUCAGAUUCAUUUUCAAGGUUUUGUUUUCAAAGUAGCUACACAUAUUUUAUAUCUUCAGCACCUGGAACAGUGAUUAACACAUCUUAGUAUUCAACAAAUUCUUUUGGAAAAACAUGAAUGAAUAAAUGGCUAGAUAAAUCAAUCAACUGAUUUCUCAAUAAUAAAAAUUAUUUUCUAUCAUGUUUUCACAAUCUUUCAGAGCCUAUGCUGAAUAAAAACUACUUAAUUAUCUUUUUUUCAAAUGAGUUAAUUUUAUUAUUUUUUAAUUUAUUUUUUAUUUUAAUGAUUUUUAUUUUUUUCCAUUAUAGCUAGUUUACAGUGUUCUGUCAAUUUUCUACUGUACAGCAAGGUGACCCAGUCACACAUAAAUAUAUACAUUCUUUUUUCUCAUAUUAUCAUGCUCCAUCAUAAGUGACUAGAUAUAGUUCCUAGUGCUAUACAGGAGGAUCUCAUUGCUUAUUCACUCCAAAGGCAAUAGUUUGCAUCUAUUAACCCCAAAUUCCUAGUCCAUCCCACUCCCUCCCACUUCCCCUUGGCAACCACAGACCUGUUCUCCAAGUCCAUGGUUAAUUAUCUUUUUAUUCUCACAUGAUUCCAUGAGUCAAGGAUCUCUCAAAUAAGGAAACAAAGUAAGGAAAAUUAUGGAAGUUUAAGGUCUUAGAGGUGAUAGGUUUCCAGGAGGAUGGUGACAGACCCCCACCCCCACCUCCCACCCCCAAAUGUGUCUGUUCAUCUUGGAGACUUGCUGUGGACCUGGAUGUGGCCUGGGCAAGAUUUACACUCUUUCCAGGAAUGUGGAUACUCAAGUUGGGCAGUAAGAAACGAUGACCUGUGGAAAAUGAUUGCCUACAUAGAUUAAAACCUAUAAAGAUUAAUGGCCCUCUGUCAUGGCACUCAACCCCCUACCCCUUCCAUGACCUUCCCUGCUCCUUCUUCAUUGUUCCUACCACAAGUCCCCACCAUAAACUCCCGCCACAGAUUCCCACCACAGAUCCUUUAUAAGCCUGACAUCUCCUAUCAGUCGGUGCUGAUGCCAUCUUGAGUUCAGCCUAUUCUCUUUGGAUGCCUUAAUAAAUUUUUCUUGCUUUUAUCAGCAUGGCCUUUCCCAUUCCUUCCUCAGCAAACCUAACAACAGGUAGCAGAGAUUGGAGGUGCUAUUGGAAUCAUUUCCAUUUCUUCCCCAGACCAUUGAUUUUAAAGUGCUAUCUUGUGCCACAUUUUUCUUUCUUUCUUAAAGACUUUCCUUCUUAUUUAUCAUUCAUUUAUUUUCUGAAAAUCAUACUUAGAGAUAGUGUUUUAAAUUUUUGGUCUAAGGUAAUUGUUUCUACUCAUGUUUUUUAUUUUUGUCAUUCUUCCUCCUGGAGGAAUCUGAUCAACUCACCUUAGGUGACACAUUGUCCCUUCAAGAGAGUAAUAUUGAGCAAGUCAAUGAAAUUUUCUGUGCCCGAUUUUCUCCACUGGCAAAUUUGAAAUGUACAUGUUUGGCCUACAUUGCUAUGCUUGUAGGUGCGUAACCAACAAUUAUUAUAAUUCACCAAAGUGAAAAAUGGGGAACUAAAUAUUUUUCCAAAGUAUUCAACAUGUUAAUUUAAGAGUUUCACUACUCAUGACUUAAACUUAGAUAUCAUAUAUACACAUACAUAUGUGGAUAUCAUAUAUACACAUACAUAUGUGGAGAUCAUAUAUACACAUACAUAUGUGGAUAUCUACACAUUUUCUUCAGUUUUGGAUUUUAAUGUCCUUGUUUUAUAAGUAUGCUCACUUAUUCUUUUGUACUUUUUUAAUAUUUCUUAAAUAUAAUUAGGGUUUUCAAAACUUACAGAUUCUCACUAUGACUUUCCAUUUAAAAUCUAAAAUGUUUUUCCUUGAUUUUCUCAUGCUUAUUGGUUAGAAAGUGUGCUAAUAUUAUCUUUCAAAUGACCUAAUGAAUACAAACCUACUGAUAAAUCUUGUCAGUAUCUGGCAACCCGGCCAUGACUGAUAAGAAAUAAAUCAUAGCCUACAUCCAUGUGAGGGCAAAACUCCAUUAUAGAAGAAAAUUCAUUCUGGUGUGUAAUACUGGGUGUCUGAAUAACAGAACUAAAUUACAUCAGCAAGAAGUUUCUGAGUGGUAGUGUAUAUAUAUUGGUCAUUGAAAGAAGGUAUCCAUCACCUAAUACAAUUCUUAAUAAGUCUUCAAAAUACAAAGAAAUUUAAAGAAAAAGGAAACAUUUCUUUCAUGUGUGCUGGAAUUGUAUGUGGCUAAGACAAAUUGUAGUAGUAAGCGCAUAUCAACUCUUCAGUCUUACAGUGGAUGGCAACUACUCAGUAGUCUGUCAUGUGAGUUAAAUGGAGGAAAGCAUGUAGAUCACCAUAUCCUCAAACUGUAAGCAUACACUUUUGUCUCAGGCUCCAAGGAAAAUCCUUUCGCACUGCAUCACAGAAGAUUAAUCCUCAUUGUAAAUCCCAUUCUAAAUUGCUAUCAUUUAUUUUUGCAAAAAUUUGGCUCAUUUCAAACACGAUCAUAAUUAAUAUUUAUUUAGAGGCUUUGCUAGUUACACUGCUUCAAUGUAUAUAUACUUUUUUCAUUAUAUAAUUGUUUUAACAACUUUCUGAUCUAUUUGGCUGAUGACAAGAUUGAAGCUCCAGGUGAAAAAAAAAACAUAUACAAGGUCACAUAGCUGGUUAAAUGAAGUAGCCAAGAUUUAAAUUUCUGUCUUUGAAAUGUACAUCCUUUUGAAGAAUGCUCAUUUUCUCUGCAUAAUAACUGAAAGGAUUUUAGUGAUCAUUUAGUCCAAACAGCUCAUUAUAAUGAUGAAGACACCGAGGUCCCCAGAGGUCAAGUGGCUGGCACUAGGAGACUUGAGGCAUAGCUUGAACAUCAACUAGUUGCCUUUAAGCCAUAAUUGUAAUAAUGGCUGCACUUGCAGCUUUAGUUUCUGUGUCCUAGCAUUAGCCUUGCUCCUUUGUUCUGAAAAUAAACAUGAACUAGUAUGAUGAAACUGUAGCUAUUUUUUUUCCUCCUUAUACUAGUGUUCCUCAGUUGGUCUUUCAUGUAGCUUCAACACUUUCCUUUUGGUGGACAGCAAGUCCCAUUAGCACAAUGUCUCUGGAGAUGUCAGUGUGCUAGAAAAUCCAGAGAUUUAAGAAUAGUGAAAGGUAAAAAAGCCAAAACCAAAACCAAAACCAAAUUGUUGAAAGGCUAAGAAAAGUGCAAAGGAUGAACUCUUUGAAUUUGGUUAGUAAUACAGACAGAUUUAAUCUUUAGGUAGAUAAUUCUAUCAGCCAAAUGUAGGCUAAUUAAAAUCACUUUAAAUGGGUAAAGAGUAUUAGCCUUUUCCCCCCACCCUAGAUGAUUUUACCAAUUAGCAUAAUAUAAGAAAAAUAUUACUCUAUGGAAAUGGAAUGUUAACAAACCUAGUAAAUUGCAAAAUGUUUUGAAGAAUAUUUACAAAGACCAACGUUGCAAGCCUUGUUAGUCCAAAUUUGAAAAGCGUAGUAGUUGAAUGCUUGAAAGUCAUUUACACCAAGAAUAUUCAUUUGAAUUUAACUGCCCAAUGAAACUAAACUCAGCAGUGAAAAGUAAAGGUUGAAUUAAUGUCUGCAGUUAGAACAAGAAAAUGAGCAGUAACUAAGCAGCAUGUAUUUCAUUUUUCAUGUGAAUAUUCAUUUCGCACUGUCUGCUACCCUAUAGCUCACUAUCUCACUUUUAGAACAGAUGAUUUUUAUUUUAGGGUACUUUCCUAAUCCCUCAGAAACACUGAGAUAUUUGAUAAUUUUUUACUCUUCAUUUACAUAAAUCUUUUACAUAUGUGUAUGUUGGUUGCCUAGAUUUCAGACUAGACUCAGGGGUACAGUUGUUUUGAUCUUAGAUGCACUCUCACACACAUUUAGUAUUUGGGGUGUGUUGGCUGCUUUUUUUCUGAUUGUUGGCUAGAUUGCCCAGGGUGACUAGAUGUUCUCCAACAGGCCAAACUAUGUUUGUUCAUGGAGCUUUUCCCUUCCUUUGAAUCUUUUGUUCUAAAACAUCAUGCCAUAUUUUGUAAUAAGUGCCAAUUUAUGUGACCUAAUAUUUUAAAACAUGUACUUUGCUUAUAUACAGAAAGCAUAGGGUUACAAAGAUUAUUUAUCCUCCUUAAAUAAAUGUAAUGGAGUUCCCGUCGUGGCGCAGUGGUUAGCGAAUCCGACUAGGAACCAUGAGGUUGCAGGUUCGGUCCCUGCCCUUGCUCAGUGGGUUAACGAUCCGGCGUUGCCAUGAGCUGUGGUGUAGAUUGCAGACGCGGCUCGGAUCCUGUGUUGCUGUGGCUCUGGCGUAGGCUGGUGGCUACAGCUCAGAUUAGACCCCUAGCCUGGGAACCUCCAUAUGCCGCGGGAGCGGCCCAAGAAAU